CUUUUGAAAAAUCUAUAAUGAUUAUUUAUUGUGUUUAUUUUUUCUUAAUAAAAUAUGGCAAAUAAAUUAAUACAAUUAGUUCUUACAUUUCCUAGUACACUUCCAAUCAUAAGAAGUUUGACCAAUACACAAGCAGUCCGGAAUCUGCGCAAACGAAAGUACGCGUUCUAGCAAAACUAAUCCGGGAUUUUGACUGCCUAUCUAGCAACAACAAAGUUCAGUUUGGGAUUUGGUUUCAAACCACUGAAAGUAGUCCAUAGAAUUUCCUAAGGAUUUCGGUUUGGGACAUGCGCAAGGUAUUUGUCAAGACUAUGUUGUUUUCUUUUUUUGUUUGUCAUUUAGAUAAUCAAUAAAAAAUAUAUAUCGGA